UUCGAGGGGGGGUUCCAACCGGAUUAAUCAAUUAAUUACUAAUUAAUGGACCUAAUCAAGGGCCCACGAGGUCAUUGGUCUUUCCUCCUUGCCAGAACAAUGAACAAGUACUUCGGGAGGUCGUGCGCAGCACAGCGUACCAGGGGGAGGUCAAAGUGACUGCUGUGCUACCUGGGGGCGCCUGGUGGAACUUGUCUCGGUGUUUGUGGCUUCAUAGUACCUUUCUGUAUGAUAUUCUACCAGUGGUUUGUUGACAGACGACAUCAUAACCUCAAUCACGAUCAUUCCAUAGUGUUUUUUGGGGUUUUUUGGUUUUGUUGGAUUAUUUAUCCCAUUGUUGAGUAGGAUCUGGCAGAUAAUAUUGUGACCAUCCUCUGGAGGUAUUUAGCGAAGGAUCCCAGAAGCCCUUGGCAGUACGGAGCGUAAAAUUAAUUAUAUUUUUACGUUGUAUUAGGGUUUUUUGGGAAUGUAUUCGAUGAUUGGGGUAUGUACAAAUGAGAGAACCUUUAUAUUAGCGAUCUAGAAAGGAUUUCCUACAAAAUUAGUGCAUUAGUUGGUUUUUCUAAUCUCAAUCUCCAGCCGGCAAAACACAUUGGGUACGAUUUUUUAAUUUUUCCAAGUUAUGUAUUUGACAUUGUUCACCAUUUGGAAUUUUUUCAUUCUUGAUGGAGCCAAUAUUUUUGUCAUUAGUCAAAAAAAUUGAAUAACCAGUCAAAACCAUGAAUUUUCAUUUUUUAUUCGAAUCAAGUUUUUUUUCAUUAAUCAUCAUACAUAAUGGAAAAAAAAUGUUACAUUUGUACAGCCAUCAUAUACAUGUUACAUUUAGAUUACCGUUUACUUAUUACCAUUUUUUAAGUGUCUUGUUUGUGUCUGAUGUGUGUUUUGUGAGUGCCUCGGAGUAAUGGGUAUUUAUAUCGAUUUAUCAUUUAUGAAAUGUAAAAGACAAUCAAUAAAAAUAACGUAGAGGAGUCCAGCACUCAUUAUUCCUUUAAUUAUUUUUUUUUGAAAAGGUAAUUUAUACGAAUGAGUAGUUCUUACUGGAUGAUUCGGCGCGAGUGAUAAUGAAAUCAUGAAAAAUUAUUCGAUGUGAAGUGAACUAAAAAGCGAACAAAUGUCAUCUAUUAAAAUAUUGAAGCAAUAGAGGCGAAAAAAAUCUGUUUUUCUAGGUUUGAUUUUAAAGUAUUCAACGCAAAGAUACUUUCAGUUGGACUUUACUUUGUUGAAUUUGACAAUGAUAUUAUGUAGUGAAGUGGUAAACAAACAAUUUAUCAUUUCGAUUAUGAACAAUGGGGCAGAAAUGGUCAGGAGACAAUUGUUCUGAUUAUUGAAUUUUCUGCAAAAACAUAUUCCAGGAUCUCUCUCUGGACUUGAUAAUUCCCGAGACUUAUAAGAGAAAUUAUAAAAACGUUCCGAAUAGCUAAAGGAAAGAUUUGUAAUUAAAUUAUGACUUCACUACAAAAUUGAUUUUUCGGUAUGUUUACCAUUUAAGUUUAAAAACAAUUAAUUGAGAGGAGUUCUGGAAUUAUUUAUAUAAUAACGUUUAACUGGUCUUCAACAAUUAUACAAAGAUACUAAAUUUUCAGCGAGAAGAACAAAAUUUCAAUCUUCUCUAAUGUCUGUUUAAUGCGUUUCUCAUUUCUAGUGCAUUUGACCAACAGCUUCUCACCAGAAUUUAUUUAUUUCUGUUUGAAAUAUUACAAUGAUAUUGUUACUUCCAUUAUCUACUUGUACUGCUCUGCGUACUGUUCAAUAACGUCUUCUUUAAUAAUUUUAAUUUAAUUCUCUUUGUAAAAAACAUUGUCGAAAAUGGAUCCUAUUGUAUUUCUCAACUUUUUCUUGUGGCUAUUACAUUUGCGUCAUUUCCUCGUUUUUCUACAUUCUAUACACUAAUAUACAAAGUAUGCAAUUUUCACGUAUUUAUUUGCCUUUUUUUUGUUUUUUUCUUUUCUUUUUUUUUAUAUAUUUUUUUUACUUUUUCUAUACCGAAAUGUCAAUCAUGCCGUUAUGUCCAUCCCACUUUUCUAAAUUCGGUUCUAUCUUGAAAUAUACGACUUCAGUAACACCAUUCUGUUAUUACUCAUCAACAUGUUAUAAUUGUUUUUGCAUAAAUAAAUGA